CCCAGACUCCUACGGGAGGCAGCAGUGGGGAAUAUUGCACAAUGGGGGAAACCCUGAUGCAGCGACGCCGCGUGAAGGAAGAAGUAUUUCGGUAUGUAAACUUCUAUCAGCAGGGAAGAAAAUGACGGUACCUGACUAAGAAGCCCCGGCUAACUACGUGCCAGCAGCCGCGGUAAUACGUAGGGGGCAAGCGUUAUCCGGAUUCACUGGGUGUAAAGGGAGCGUAGACGGCGACGCAAGUCUGGAGUGAAAGCCCGGGGCCCAACCCCGGGACUGCUCUGGAAACUGCGGCGCUGGAGUACGGGAGGGGCAGGCGGAAUUCCUGGUGUAGCGGUGAAAUGCGUAGAUAUCAGGAGGAACACCGGCGGCGAAGGCGGCCUGCUGGACCGUGACUGACGUUGAGGCUCGAGAGCGUGGGGAGCAAACAGGAUUAGAUACCCUCGUAA
rnacentral:rRNA from 1 species